CCCGCUCGGGCCGGGCUGUGCGGCCACGUCCCCGCUCGGGCCGGGCUGCGGCGAUGCGGCCGGCGGGACGCGGCCGUGCGGCGCUGCUGGCCCGGCCGUGCGGCGCUGCUCACCCGGCCAUGCGGCCGUGCUGACCCGGCCAUGCGGCGGCCCUGCAAGGUGGCGGCGGCCCUGCUGUGCCUGGCCGUGCUGCUGCUGCUCUAUCUGCUGGCGGGCAGCGCGGCCCCGCCGCCCGCGCCCUCCGCGCCCGCCCGCCGCCCGCCGCGCCUCGGCCGGAGCUCCCCGAGGAGGAGCCCCGCGGGCGGCGGCAGCGCCAGCGCCAGGAAGCCUGGAGAGCAGAAACAUCCAAAGGAGCCCUCAUCCUUGCAGUGCAUGCAUCUGGCAGUGGUGGCAUGUGGGGACCGGCUGGAGGAGACGCUGAUCAUGCUGAAAUCGGCAGUUCUCUUCAGCAACAGGAGGCUCUGCUUCCACAUCUUUGCUGAGGAUUCCCUUAAGCCUGAAUUUGAGAAGAAGUUAAAGGAGUGGCCUUCCUCAUAUACAAAGAAGUUUGAGUCCAACUUUUACCCAAUAACCUUCUCAGUAGGAAAUGCUCAGGAAUGGAAAAAGUUAUUCAAACCAUGUGCUGCCCAGCGCCUGUUUCUUCCGGUGAUUUUAAAGGACGUGGAUUCCCUGCUUUACGUGGACACUGAUGUGCUGUUCCUGAGGCCCAUCGAUGACAUCUGGCACCUCCUGAGAGAAUUCAACUCCACCCAGCUGGCUGCCAUGGCCCCCGAGCACGAGAUCCCCAAGAUUGGCUGGUACAGCCGCUUUGCCCGUCACCCUUAUUAUGGCACCACCGGCGUCAACUCCGGGGUGAUGCUGAUGAAUUUGACACGGAUCCGCAGCACUCAGUUCAAGAACAGCUUGAUACCAGGUGGCUUGACUUGGGAGGAAAUGUUAUAUCCAUUGUACCAAAAGUACAAAAAUUACAUCACGUGGGGAGACCAGGAUUUGCUAAAUAUCAUUUUUUACUUUAACCCAGAGUGUCUGUACGUGUUCCCCUGCCAGUGGAACUACCGGCCCGACCACUGCAUGUACGGCAGCAACUGCAGGGGGGCAGAGGAGGAGGGGGUCUCCAUCCUGCACGGCAACAGAGGCGUGUACCACGAUGACAAGCAGCCCACCUUCAAGGCUCUCUACGAGGUGAUCCGGGAUUUUCCAUUUGAAGACAAUCUCUUCCAGUCCUUGUACUACCCUCUUCAGUCGAAGUUUCUGGAUACAGUGCACACUUUAUGUGGGAGAAUUCCACAAGUAUUUUUGAAGCAAAUUGAGAAAACUAUGAAGAAGGUGUAUGAAAAUCGUGUCAUUGUGUACUUGGGGGCCAACCACAGAUACUAACUGUAGCUCUCUUCUUACACAGAAGUUUUAAGUCCUAUACUCUUUUUCAUGAAGGAUAUAAAUGAAGAAUAUAGCUCUUUUACUGAAACUCAGAAUUAAAAUAUUUCUUUUUCCAAUUUUCUAAUAACCCUUGAAAUUAAAAAAUGCAGGAAAUCCUAGAAGCCUACUGAGAUUGUUGCUGAGAAGAGCAGGGGAAUCCUUUAUUUUUGGAGUACAGUUGUGGCCUGCCUCCCCAGUCCCUUACAGUUAAGAAUGUAUUCUCUGGCUUGGUAAUGUGAAUUGCAUUAGGCACAGUCCAGGACUAUUGUCAAUGAAGAGUACAAACCCGGGUACUGUUGAUCCAUUUUCCUCUUCAAGUGCUAUUCCCUGCACAAUAACAGCAGUAUUUUACUGCCAGACAGUUUUCCAUCCCUGCCUUGGGAGAUGGCCAGUGCUGCCCCUGACUCCCCUCUCCUGCAUGGAGAUGUAUUUCUGCCUUGUGCUUCCAUUUCUGGGAUCACAGAAGCAGAGAAUUCUAGAAUGGUUUGGGCUGUAAGGGACCAUUAUGGGUAUCUUGUUCCACCCUCUGCCAUGGGCAGGGACACCUUCCACUAGACCAGGUUACUCCAGCCCCAUCCAACCUGACCUUGAACACUUCCAGGGAUGGGGAAGCUGGGAUCUUUAUGCUGGGAUCAUAAUGAAUAGCCUUAAAGUGGAAGAGGAUACAAGAUGGCUUUGAUGUUUAUUUAAAAUACUUCAUUUAGCUUAAACUUCCAAAGUAUGAUCAUCAUCUUGUGAUAUGCACAAAGAGCUUGUUUAAACUGCAGUAGCUGAAAGGUGCUUGGGACCAGUCCCUGGGGAACUGGAAGUGAGGGCACUCCUACAGAGCAGAUCCAAGAGCAAACUCACUCCUGAAGAGCAGUGAUCCAAGAGCAGACUCCCAGAGGGCAUUUUUUAGGUGUAAGCCCCAAAGGUGUGUGUAGGAGUGCUUCAAGGAAGCAGGAGAGAAAAUGAUGUUACUUUUCAAGUCUGUUCAGCAGAAAACAUCAGUCAUGACUUGGAACUGCUCAUUUUUUUAUUUAACAGGCAAAGUAGGAGUGGGGUGAGCAGGGUGAGAUAAUGAAGCCUUCCCCUAAUGAAAGGAAAACUGGCACAGAUGGGAUAUCCUGUGCAUGUAUCAUGCAUUUGUUAGAGAGAAAUGCCUGGGGACUGUGGAUGAGGGAAAGGAUACAUUCACAAAGUUAAAAUAAGAUUUCUGAGGAAUUGCAGUUUUGGGCAUUCUCCCCUAUCCAGUCAGGACUAAUGCAGGGUUUCAUAAGAAAACAGACUCCAGGAGUCUCCCUUUUAGCUCGCACAUUUCUCUCUCCUCGUCUGGCAGUUGCUGAGAGGAGGGAAAACACGACCUUGGUGCCAUCCCAGGCUGCCAGAUAAGAGCCUGUGCAUGGGAUGGAGUUCCAGCAAUCUUUUCCCAAACCCUGGAGUGUGAGAGUGUCUGUGACACCGCCUGGCAGAGAGCAGGGCUGCAGGCAGCUGAGUGGGGGAGUGGUGGGACAGGGGCUUUGGAGUGAGGGACAGCAGAGCUGCCGGACCUCACAGCAUGACAGGAACAGAAACCUUGUUUGCACCUCUGCUGCAAAUCGUAAUCACACUUUGAUUAAACAAUGUGUUCUGACUCCAGCCCUUAUCUCACAGUGUUUGCCACCUGAGUGUAAAUUGACAUGUGAAGGACACAGGGGCAGCUGGACUGUUGUGAUUGAAAGCCUGGGACACAGAAAGUCAUUUAAACUUGAGCAGAGGUGCCUUUCCAACUUGUCUUAGGAUUUUCUAUUUUAGCUGAAAUUUUAGUUGCCAAUUUAAACAAGAGUACACUUUUGCCUACUGAGAGGAGUUUGAAAUGUAACCCAAAAGGGCAUUGAAGAUUUCAGAACCAGAAGGCAGAGAAAAGAAGUUUUACUGUAGUGAAAGAGUCUGAUAUUGGAUAUAAAGAGACAAAUACAUUUAACUUCCCCCAAAGUGCUCGUGUGUCAUGCUGCAGCUCCAGUUGUGUUACGGUGAGCAUAGAUCAAAACCUUCUCUCAAAGGAAACUGGAGUUUUAUCUUUUACUCUUUACUGUUUCUCCAUUAUGUUUCACUCCUUGGAGGUAAUUUAGCAGCAUUUCCCCUCCCUCCUUCUUGUAUGCAUUUUUUGACAUUCUUGUAUGGUCACUACUGUGCUCUUUGCUUGUGACAUCUCUGUGUGACAGAAUCUCCUGGGCUGCCUGUUCAGCACAACCCUGGUGGUGCUGACACUGUUUCCAGCUGGGUGUUGGGCUCAGCCUCAGCUCUCUGAAGUCAAAAUAAGGAUAAAACUGUCAUUGACCUGGCUGGGCAGAGGUGGGCCAGCUGUAGAACACCAGCCUGUGGGUGAGUUCUGGAAAGGCUGUGGGUGUGUGGGGAGUGUUACACACUCACAGUGUAAUCACUGCUCGGUGAUUCAAGGUUUUUCACUUGCAAAUGUGGCUCCAGCCAGUGUUGGUGUGGGGAGAAGAGAGAUUUCCCAAGCUGGGAAUAAAGUACAAGCAAUUGGAAAAAAAAAAAAAAAAAAUCUUGACACUUUGUCAACUGCCAGAGAAUCCUUUUUUCCUCUCCAUCAGAUACAAUAAAUUGUGAUGGUAAGAAAUUGUGAGCACCCCUCCAGAGGUGAGAUGGGAUGAGACAGUCACCAGGAUACCAGGAGCCCUGCAGAGGCUGGAAACAUUCCCCCACUGCUCUUGGGACAAGUGCUUGUGUGUGCUGGGAUCAGCCUGCACCUCCCGCUGGCAAGAGAUAAGGAAUUGCUAUUUGAGCUUCAGAAGACAGAGCAAUGUUGGGAAAUUUUGCUUUCAUUCUGGAUGAGAAUACAAACCAAACUGUCAACACUUCCUUUGAAAUGAAAAUCCAGACAAAACACCAAAUUGAGGCUCAGCAUUGAAGAUGAACAAAGCGCUUUGUUAAUGUUUUCUUUUGAGGUAAAAUAUUUUAGUUUGACUCUCACAUUUCUGUAAAUGUAUCUUAAUUGCUGCUGCUGUUACUUUGUGAAAACUACAUUAUAGCCCAAAAGUGUGUAUGUAUAGUUUUGUUAACUAAUACUGAAAUAAUGACACAGAAAUGACAUGGCUCUUUAUUUUAAAGACCUGUUUUUUAAAUCUUCUCCUGAAUCCUUGUGAAAAUGUUAAUUCCCUCCUGCGAGGGUUAAACUGUGCACAACAGGUGCCUUCUCAGGUUUCACACCUUCAAGCAAAGAUCUUCCCAUUCUGCUCAACACUUCCAAAGGGCACCAUGGUUCCUCACACCUGAGCUCCAGGUGAGAAAACAAGGCUGGUUUUAGUCUGACUGGUUCUGUAGUUUGUGAUGUCAGGAAGCUCCUGUUCCAGGGAGAUACUGUGAGGAAGGUGUUAAAUACAGCUUGGAAAGAAAACUGCCAGCCAGUUUAACAUGGGCUCUUGGCUUAACAGGAGACAAUCCAUGAGGAUUUGCUGGAGUCGGUGGCUGAGCCAGGUAAAGCCUGGAAUGUUUGUCACAUCUGGCUAUUCCUUGGUUUUUUUUUGUAUCUCCUGUGGGUAAUCUUUCACAAGAAACACCAGGUCCCACAAAUACCAUUUUUCUGUUUUCAGCCUCUUUUUUUAAGGCACUGUGUGUGAGCUGUUCUUGUCUUUUGAUACUCCCAAGUCUUCGAGAUUUUUUAAAAGCACAAUAAAGAUUUUUAGUCAUUUUCUCAGAGGAGAAACAUAAUUUGUCUCGAGGCAGCUGUGAUAUACUUUAAAGAAAAAAAACAAACACUUUCCUACUCUGGAUGGUUCAGAGAGCUAUGAUUUUUAGUGUUAAAUUAUUGUACCCAUACUCAGGUUUCUGCAGCUAUAAAUUUAAACAAACCAAACAAAAUCUCUAUGCUCCUUUUGUAAAUCCUUUGAUGUGUAUCGAUCUACAAUAUUUUCUGAAGACCUAAGUGAGUCUUGAAAUGUAAGAUUGUUCUCAUUUUCUUAUUGUUUUCACUGGAUUCUGCUGCAUCUCCCUUGCUUGAAUGCUGUAUUGAAUUGCUACAGAUUGUUUCAAAGCAAAACAAUCAAUUUUUGUUCAAACUGGGUGGAAAUACCUUGCAAAUUGCUGUCACACAUCAGUAAAGGGAAACUGCUUUAAGUCAAGUUGGGUCAGGGAUCUCUAGAUACCUAAUCUAAGCUUCAUUUGUCAGAGCAGAAGUAGCUGCUGGUCAUAUACCACAAGUAAUUUUAAUUAUUGAUCUGUGU